CUUCAAAAACAUGAAGAAAACGUUUACCGACAUCAUCAGCAAAUGUUUGUUUAAAGCAAUUGGAGUCAGUAUAGCAGACAGUUCACAAUUAAACUCAAAAUUCAAACAUCAUCUUGCAAGACUGCUACUAUUACAUGUCAGAUUCAACCAUUAGAAUGUGUGCGAUGCUUUCAAAAGAAGAAAAUAAGUCAGUCAACCGAUGGGUCAAAAACCAAGAAUAGUUGAAACGCUCGAUGUAUUAUGUUUAAUUGUUGACGUUCACAAUUCUUAUUUCCUAGGCUUUGUUUUAAAAAAGUUCCUCAAUAAAAUUUGAUUAGA
ensembl:lincRNA linc-106 ncRNA